rnacentral:lncRNA from 1 species
CCGUCUAAUCUCGGAAAAGUAGAGACAAGAUGUCAACUUGAUACCUACUAAGUCCAGAUAAUAUCAUAUUAAUGAUAUAAAAUAUACAACAUGAAUAAUGUAAUUAAAUAACAGUUACCACAUAAGUCGUAUAUUGCUUGCAGUCAUAUUUUUCUUUAUCCUCUUUCCUCCUUUCAUUUAGUUAGCAACAAAUCAUGAAAAGUCUAGGCUCAAGCAUAAACAUGUAAAUCAUGCGCAACAACGCCGAGGUCAACGGCCCGCUCCAAUAGAAUAUAAAUUUGUGCACUGCCGAGGGUCGAACGGCCCGUACCAUAAAUGCAUCUAUUUCACCGAUGCGAUCGGCCCGAUCCACAAAUAUGAAGAUAAUAUCAAGAAUGCGCAAUAAGGCAUCAUAUAUAUACAAGGAAAAAUUCUUCCAAGUUCAUAAAUAAGCAUAUGUUCAUUUUUCAUUCUCCUCUAGUCUCUAGCAAAUCAUAAAAGACAAUUUAUAUAGUUCAAACAAGGUAAGGUUCAAUGUAGGCAUGAUGUGGGUCCUAAACUACCCAAAUAUUAAACAUUAUAGUAGCUACGCACGGACUCUCGUUACCUAGUACGUGCGUAGCCCCCACAUUUAAUUGCAAUUUAUCAUUUAUUAGUCCUAAAGGGAUAAUUCCCUCUCACGAUGUUUGAAAGGAGACUCACCUCGCUCCAAACCGCACUUACAAAUGCCAAGAACAAGCUCGAGACCUCAAAGCGAAGCCGAAAACGCACAACCUAGUUAAACAAUGUGGGAAUUAGUCAAUAAGGGCUUACACCGUUGAAUUCUAAUUAUUUAAGUGGUUUCCCAAUCUUUCCCGCAAGUUUCCAAAUUAUUAACCCCGGGCCCACGUGCCCGGAUUUCGAGAUUUUUCAAAGGAAAAUAUUCUCUAAAACCUAAGGAUUGCUAAUAAGUAAAUUUUAGUUCAUUACAUAGCUAAAUAGGUGGCUAAAUCAUAAUUUUAUCAAAACCCUAGGUCUAUCUCUAACCCUUGAUUUUUAAUUAAUUACGAGUGUUAAAUCUAUGCAAGGUUCGUGUAUUUAAGCUAAGAGUGAGUGGUGAUUACUUACCUCGUGAUAUUAGGAAGAAAAUCUCUCUUUGGAACCUUCAAAAUCGCCCAAAUGGUGUGAAAAUGAGAGAUAAAGGGCUUGGGUUCGUAUUUAAUGAACCAUUACUGUCCCCAGCGAUUUUCGCAUAUGCGGACAAAUUACCGCAUAUGGGGUGUCCGCUUUUGCGAAAAAACAACCACUUUUGCGGUUUGGAGGCACUGCGAACCGAACCGCUUCUGCAGUCGAAUUCUCGCACAUGCGAGACCGAGCCUGCGGUCCCAGGGCCGCUUCUGCAGUCUCUUCGCCAUCUUGGCCUUCCACUUCUGCGACCAGGUGGCCGCUUAUGCGGUCAAAGAGCUGCAUAAGCGAUUUUGACAGAAGCAACAAACUUGCUUCUUUUUAAAACCCGACUUCGCUCAAACCUCGACCAUUUGACGCUCGGGGUUCUCGUACCCCGUCCGAACAUACUGACAAGUGUGAAAUCAUGAGGCGAGCCUAGUCGAACCCUCGGAACACCCAAAACAAUACUAAAUCAAGAAAUCAGACCCCAAAACCAAUUGAUCCAAUUUAAUGAACUUCAAGUUCUUAGUUUCCCUUCAACUGGUCAAAAUGCCCUUAGACUACUCGGAUUGACACCAAAUUUUACGGGUAGGUCUUAUAUGAUAGUUUUGACUUGUACCAAGUUUCGGAACCAGAAUCCGAAUCUGAUACCUAGGUUUUUAAUAAAAACUUAGAUUCUUUAAUUCCUUAAAACUUCGAUUUAACAAUUUUACAUAGAACUUACGUACUCGGGCUAGGGACCUCAUAAUUCGAUUUAGAGCAUACGCCAUGUACGAUAUUUUUCCACGAACCUACCGGGACCGUCAAUACAUGAAUCCGGAUUCAUUUCCCAAGAAAGUUGACCGAAGUCAAACUUGGCCUUUUAAGAAAACCUUAAGAGAAUAAUUAGUUUUAUUUUUACUAAAAACUCUUCUAACUUCCGAACUAAUCACCCACGCAAGUCGUAAUUUAGCUACGGAAUGCGUGGGGAGUUUUAUUUAAGGGAAUAGGAUUUUAAAUAGUAAAACAACCAGUCGGGCCGUUACAUUUUUUCCACUUUAUUUGGGCGGAUUUUAGAGCUCUUCUCCACUCUAAGAACUUCAAACUUUUUUUCCUAGGGUGUUACAUCAUGCCGAAGUGACAAUUCUUACUCGACCCAAAUGACGCACUCAAUCCUUGACCCAUUUUCUUUAAUUGUUUGAGUAUUCUUUUUGGAAGUGAAAAUGAGUUGAUAUGUGAUCAAUUUUGUUUUGAGAUGCCCAGCCAAAUGGAUAAUUUUAAAUGGGACAAAUGGAUAAUUUUAAACGGGUCAAGAAAAUAUUUGGUUAUGGAUGGGCCAUGUGGACAUAUUUUAAUUCUUGAACAUCACGAGCUAUAUUCCAUCAACCACUAGUCGAUGAUAAACCCCUUUAAUGGUAUAUAAACCAUGAACCCUAACUCUGAACAUUCAGAAAAAAUCAAUUGACUUCUUUAAUGGACGAGUGCCAACUCUAGGUUACGUCCUCAACUCUUACUGUGGUCGAGGAUAAACAAAUGGCCGAGAAUUAACUAAAAUAAGAAUUACAUCACGUUCGACCUUGAUUUUUAUUUUAUUUUAUAGCGUUUAAAUAUCUUAUUAAUGAUCAUGGAAUAUUUAAAGUUAUUAUACUUGGCGGUGUAUUUCAUACCAUUGAGAGUUAGUUAUUCUAGAACAUAUAACAACUCAAGAAGCAAGACCUCUAAGUAUAAGAGUGUUAUCUAGUGAAGUGUUAUCAACAAGUAAUACUUCUAAGUAGAUGACUCUUGUAUAUUGAAUACUGGGAUAUAAUAUCGACAUGUGUUAAUAUUAAGUAAUAUUUUGAUCAAUUAUAAUGAGUAAUUAGUCUUCAAAAUGCAUACAUUACCUUAAUAUUAUGUUGUAAUGGCCAAAGGCUACAUAAUGAAAGUUAUGUUAACCAAUUAUCAGCUUAGGUUAAUACAGAUAUAACUAACACGUUAUACUAAUUCAUUUUUUCCAAUUCAAAGUCUGCAAUUUGAUGAAUUAGAACAACCUUAAGUUAUUCAUAAAUAAUUAUCAUUUUUGAAUUAAUAUAACUAAAUUAAUAUUUUACACUAACGAACAACUAAUAAUCGAUGAUUUAUCCCUAUGGUCGUCCAAUUUAUGAUUGAUAUACAGUUCAUAAUUCUUUACAAUGAAUUCUAUUGGUUUACAUUUAUAAUGAAUUUAUAUACCACCAAUGGGGUAGACAAUAAACUGUAGGUUUAUUCAACAAUUCAUGUGAAAUUUUUUCAAUUCAUUGGCGAAAAAUUCAAAUAUUUAGAAGACUGCAUAUCAAUUCAAAAAUUGGUAACUUUGGAAUAUUAUAAAACAUUAUAUUAUUUAAAAAUAAUAAAUUCAGCACUUGUUGCAAAGAAACUCAAGAUAGGCAAGAACACAUGUAAUAUUACAAACUACGAGGAAAGAUGGGAAUUUGUCAAAAUGUAAAUAAAAAUUAGGGAAAAUUUCACAAUAGAAUAACUAGGCUCCAUACUUUUUAAUUUUAUUGCUCUUAUUGUAAUUUACAAUUAACUAGCCUAUAAAUAAUAGGUUAAGAUUUAACAUCCAACUCCAAUAGGUUCUCAAAAUUAGUAUUUAAUUUUUAAAAAGAUUCCUCAAGUUUUUAAAUUAAUUUCUGAAUCAGUAACUGUGACUCAAAUAUUAAUUCAACAAACUAAAUUCAUUGGGUGGUGAAAAUUAUAUUUUUAAAAAGCUUAAAUAUGUGGGUUUAAAUUUCAAGUUUGAUUUUAUGAGAAAUUUAGAGUGGGUGUUAUUUAGACAUGUUAGAAAUAGUAUAAAGAGACUGUAUAUAAAAUUUGAAAUCAUUUAAUGGAGAUUUGGACCGGUUUACAACAAGAAUUGCAACUGAAAAUCGUGAAAAAAUAUCGUCUACAGACACUUGUAUAAAAGUGUAUAAAAGUGUAUAAUAAUGUUUAAGGUGUGUUUCUACACUCAUAUACACAAUUAUACAAGAUUAUACAUAAUUAUACAAAAAGCUGACUUCAUCUUCUUCCUUGCGUCUUUUCUGAAAUUUAACUCAAAUCUUGCUCAAAAUAAUCCAAAUCACUUCAAAUUUAAAUUUUGAACUCCUUUUGAUAUUUUCAAUCAAUUGAAACAAUACCCAAUCCAAACAACUAACAAAUUUUAAAAAAUUUAAAAAGGAAACUUACCUCCCUAGCGUAUACCCGAAAUAUCAACUACACACAUUUUCUUGGCGAAAAUCCUAUUACUGUGACGACCCGACCCAUUGUCUCAUGUAAUUUCAUCCCAUAUUUCCCGUUUUAUGCUUCUUCAUGUUUCAAUAUAUGUGUGUGGUGGGUUUGAGUUGAUUCGGAUCAAAUUUGGUAGGAAAUUGGAUAAUUAGUCUCUUUAAGAAAGAGUUGAUUUGGAAAAGUUAACCGGACGUUGAGUUAGAGGGCUCAGAAUUGAUUUUUGAUGAUUUGGUUAGUUUCGGGGGGUAAUUUAAGGUUUAAGAGCGCAAUCAGAAGUAAUUUUUGGGGCCCGAUGAAAGAGUUAGCCUAUUUUGGCGAAGUUAAUAUUUUGGCGAUUUCCGGUCAAUAGGCGAUAUUUUGAUCCGGAAGUCGGAAUGGAAUUCCAAGAGUUUCUGUAGCUUCUUUAUGUCAUUUUGGACUUUUCUGCAAAAUUUGAGGUCAAUCAGAUUAGUUUUGACGUGUAUCGGCAUCAGAUGUGGAAGUUAGAAGUUUCAAAGUUCUUAGGCUUGAAUCCAUUGAGGAUUGGUGAUUUCUAUGUUGUUGGAUGUGUUUUUAUGAUUGGAACCAGUUCAUAUGAUUUAUUAGGAUGGUUUUUCACUUUUGGUUGAGGUCCCAGGGACCUCCGGGUGAUUUCGGAUGGCUAACGGGAACUUUUGAAGUUGGACAUUUCAUAAUAAACGAAAUUGUAAAUGAGUGUGCACAAGACCUCACUUUAAACGCCCAUAUCUCCAGUUAUAUAAGGGUUUGUGUGAGUAUCUACCUUUAAAAUUAAAGCUCUUUGAGUCUAGUUUCUAACGCAACAAACCAUGGGUCAUUUGGAGGUGUAUACAGAAAGUUAUUACCAUUUUACUGGGCAUGUAUCGUUAGCGCGCCCAGAUGCGCACCUGCGCUAAAAUGUGCCCCCCUAAGACAGACCGCUGGGCAAACUAGCGUGCCCAGAUGCGCGCCCAGGUGUGCGACUGUGCUAGUAAUGGGUCUCUAAAUGCCCCAAGACCAGUCUAGAGUGUUCCCAAGUCAUUUUUGGGGUUAAGGCUUGCUCUCUCAAGGGGAUUUCGUCCCUAACUUCAUCCCUAUGAUCCAAGGUAAGGUUAUUGGAGUAAUUUAAGUUGAUUAUUACUCCUAAACACUAUUAUUAACAUGUAUUGAUCUUGAAAAUCCUUAUAUUUCAUUCAAAUCCCUAAAUUGGUUCAAGAUCACUACAAACUAGAUUCUCAAGAUUCUUACCACAAGAGGUAUAUCUAUCAUCUCUAACUACUCUAUGGUGAUUAUUUGUAUAUGAUAUAUACAUUGGAACUCAUGGGAUGAUGAUGGAAAACCAUAAGUUCCUAACCUAGGUUGUGUUGGUUGUAGAGAUUGUGAAAUGGUUUAAUUAAGGAGGUUGAUGGUUGGGUAUGAAUGAAUGAUCAUACAUAUUUUGUUGGAAGUUAUAAAUUGGUUAGGAAUGAUGGUGGAGAGAAUUUGAUAAUAUGCCUAAAUGGCAUAAGUUAUGAUCAUACAUAUGUUGCUGGAAGUUAUAAAUUGGUUAGGAAUGAUGGUGGAGUGAAUUUAUUGGUUAAUUGGUGAUAGUUCGAUGAACCAAUACUAUAGUUCGGAGGUGUAAAUAUCUAUGUUUACAAGGUGUUUGAUAACAUGCCUAAUGGCAUAAGUUAUGGAGUUUAUUACCAAUAUUGGCCCUAUUGAAUGUUGUAUUGUAGAUUGAAGUUGCAUAAUUAUAUUGGAUCAUUCUAGUAGCAUUAAGGGACGAAUUCCAGUUAUAUAUAUGGGUUACAACCCAGUCUUUUAGAAAUCAAACUUCAUCGAUAUUUGUGUGAUUUUUAGGCAGAUUCAUCAUGCGAGGAAGCAAAUUUGAAAGGCAAAGGCAUCGCUGAGUAGACUUUUGGCCGUCUUGAGGUGAGUAAUAGAUGUAGAUAUUGACCUGAGGGUUUGAAACCCCGGUAUCUCACACUGUGAUGCGUUAUUGAGGCGAUACACGUACUCUACGGUGAGUGCGGGGUCGUUUGUGGACGGGAACUAUGGCUUAGUCCGUCCGAAUGAUGUCCAUACUAUGUUAAUGACUAUAAAUUUAUUAGUAAAUAUCCUGCUUGGAUUAUUAUGAGCAUAUUUGGGCUACAUGCUGAUUAUUUGGAUCCCUUAGGGAUUAUUAUCAAUGUUUCCAUGAUAUUGAGCAUGUUUCCAUGAUAUCAGUCCUGAGUUAAAUACUGUCUAGAAACGAUUAGUAAACUUCUAAAGUUUUUAAAAACUUAAGCUAUAAUACCUGAUAAAUGGAACUAAAAAUGGUAAAAUUUAUUGUGCAUGACUUCUAAGGUUAUUAAAUACUUAAGCUAUAAUACCUGAUAAAUGGAACUAAAAAUGGUAAUCUUGAUUGCGCCGUGUGGCUUGCAUGCAUAUAAUUGGACUGAUUGUAGGUUGGGCUACACGCCGCAGUGAAUGCUACAAUGAUAUUGCGCUUGUGGUAUUUCGACAUUUCUUACUUUCAGUCAUUAUACAUGUCUAUUACCACUGAGUUGGAAGUACUCACUUUACUUCCUGCACUAUGUGUGCAGAUUCAGGUGUUUCGGGAGCUUAGUCGAGCUGUUUUCUGCUUCCAGAGCUUUCAAGAGCUGUCGAGGUAGCUGCCUGACAUCCGCAGAACCCGACUCACCUCGGGAGUAUAGUUCAGCUUUUGCUAUGUUCAAAGUUUCUAAGGAGUUGUCGAAGUAGCUGCCUGACGUUCGAAGGGCCCAACUCAUCCCAUAUCCCUUUACUAUUUCCGCAUUUGUGAACAUCAGUACUACUGAGGAAUUAUUUUUCUGUAUCUUAGAGGCUCUAGACUCAUGAUCCCAGGUCUAUUGGGAGUUUUAUUGGUAGUUGCUAUGACAUUCUUAAUACCUCUGUCUACUAUCUGGUUGGAACUAUAUUAUUUUGGUAAGUUUAUACUAUAACUUGGUAAUGAGUUGAGUAGUUGAGUUGUGUAUGUUAAUUCGGGCUUGCCUAGCAUUUGUGUUGGGCGCCAUCACGAUCAGGAUUGGGGUCGUGUUAGUUUGGUAUCAGAGCCAGGUUACUAGGCCUGAUGAGUCGACUAGUAGAGUCUCAUGGAUUGGUAGAGAGACGUCUCUAUUUAUCCUCGAGAGGCUGCAGAACUUGUAGGAAAAACUUCACUUUCUUGGAAUUCUUAGCGUGCGUACUUAAUUCAUCUUGGGGGAUAUAACUCUUGAAAUUCCUUCCUCACGUCUGUAUAUGCGCAUGAGCGCUUAGUAUUAUAUGUGCUUUGAUGGCUUGCGAUUCCCCGAUUGAGGGGCGAGAUGUGAUUUCUAUGAGUUGAUAUCGGGCCGGUCAGGAGGACUUAAGGCUGAAUCUUCGCCUAUGGCUUGAGCACCGGAGUGCUAAUUCUGUGUUAUGAACUUAUAUGUUCAGUAUUGUCCGUAAUAAUGGGAAUGGCGCUGGAUAGGUGCGUGCUGAGUAUAUUGGUAUUGUGCGAUGUGUCUAUGUAACUCGGUAGUGACGAAGAAGCCUACUGGAUAGUAGGUGAACUGUUAAGUGUCCGAUUCCUACUGUAAUUUGUUGUGUGGCCCCGAGCUAUGGGCGGGUGGAGAAUGAUUUCGUGUCUCCUAGUUGGGAAUGUGAAGUGCAUUGCAUGCGACGGUAUGAGUUCAGACUCAGGAAAACUAAUGACUGUGUUAUUUGUGCGACGGUGGAAGGUGUGCUGAAAUACUAAUCUGAGACGAAACAGGUGGGUUAUCUCCUGCGGAAUGUUCUUAAGGGGUACGAUUCUUAUGUAUAUUGUUAGAAGAUCUCAUGUGCAAUGGAAAUGUACAUGUUGUAAUUUAAAAUUUGAGUCGCUUAUGAGAGUGGACUCACAUGAUAUGGGGAUGAAUGCAAGUUUUGUAGAGGAUUUCAGUAUCCGAAGAUAUGUGUUUUUAUAUACUAGUAACUGAUUUGAGUUAAUCUCACUAUGGCAUGGUGGUAUCAUUAAAGUGGGGAGGUUGUUGUUGAUUACCUAAUUGCAUGCUUAUGUGCUAUGUUGUUUCCGUUUCGGGUUAUGCCGUUAUGCUGGCGGAUCAGUCCUGAUUGCAGAAAAUGAACGGAGGAUGGCACGAGUGGUUCUAUUCGUUAAGUCUGGUAAUUUGCAAUUGUAUAAGAGUGAAUGACUCUCGAGAAUGGUUUUAUUGCGUACAAGAUUUGGCAUGUAAUAAUCAGGUGUUUUAAGGUUGUGUAUGUGGUUAGAGACUGUGUUUCUAUGGAAAAAUGUCAAGGCUUGAGGUAUAUUUAUGUUAAUUAUGGGAUUCUAUGCAUCAGUAUCAGGAAGAAAAUAAAGGUAGCGGAGUUGGAUUCACAAGAUGUUCUUCCUAGUAGAUUAUUUUUGGAAUGUGGUGUUCCUGGGAAUAUUAGAGAGAGUAUUCGGUGGCCUAUAGGUCUUUGACAAUGUGCGGAGUUGGAUUCACAUGAAGUUCUUCCUAGUAGAUUAUUUUGGGAAUGGGGGUGUUCCUGGGAAUAUUGGAGAGAGUAUUUGGUGGCCUAUGGGUCUUAGACAUUGUGGUAUUAUGUUCGAAUCUCCAAUGGUGAGCCGGGAUUGAGGCAUUGCGAUGCUACAGCGAGGGAGAAAUAUCAAGUGGAUGAUGAAUAGAAAGAGAAAGUUGAUAGACGGAAUAGCUUGAUAAUAGACUGAAUCGGUAUGGUAAGGGUAUGAUUAAUUCUUUGUAUGUGUCCGAGGUAAUGAUCUAAUUUAAGGUAUUUUACAGCUAUGCUCUUGGGUUUUGACGGCUCGCGUAGCUUGGUUUAGAUAGAAUGAUUCAGUCCUGGUAGUUUAGCUUGUACAAAUAGAGAUGGCAUAUAAGUUCUUGUUGGGUUUUACCGUGGUUUGAAGAUGAGUAUAUUUUCUGUGGGUAUGCGAAGCUUGGAGUGUGUAAGGAUUUUUCUUCUAAGUGGGAUCAAUGAAAGUUCUCAUAUUUUCCGAUUGUGGUAUGGUAGAUAUAAUAUGUUGCGGAGGAUUGAGAUUUGUGUUAAAGUACUCGGCUAGUUGAGUGCAUCGAUAUCUGCGGCGCGGAAGGGAGAUGAAAGUUCUCAUGUUAUUCGAGUGUGGUAUGGUAGAUAUGAUAUGUUGCGGAGGAUUAAGAUUUGUGUGUGUAAGGAUUGGUUCAGUUCGGAAUGGAUAAGUCAUUAAAUUCUUAAGCAGAACGGGCAACUGCAGGUGAUUUAAGGAUCGAUCUGUAGAUGAUUAGGGUGAAUGGUCCUCAUAUGACCAAGGAAAUGGUGUUGCUAAUCAUAGUGAUUUGAAGAGGGUAUAUGUUUCAGAGAAAGGGCAAUGUGAUUAAGUUGAUAGCACUUUGAUAGUAUUGUGGAAUUUUAAUGAUAGAUCGACUAUUGAUAUCUGAGUUUGUUUGGUGGCACAGGUAGAAUUUCGGAAUAUCUUUUGUGGAAUGAUUGGGUACUCGAGGUGUAAUAUGUAUUUAUACUGCAGAAUUUGGGAUCAAGUAUAGUAAUUUGUGUGUUAUGCGGAAUGGGAGACUGAGAGUUCUCAUGUCCAGGCUAUGUAGUGGUUGUGGAAAGUGUGUAUUGAUUCUGUUAGCGGCUAUUGGGGGUUUUGAAGCCCGAGUGGGUCUUUCUUUGCCUCACAAUAAUUGGUGUGCUAUGUGGAGCUGGAGACUGGGAGUUCUCAUGUUCAUGCAAUGUAGUGGUUGUGGAUAGCGUGUAUUGGUACCGUUAGCGGCUAUUAGGGGGUUGGAAUCCUGAGUGGAUCUUUCUUUGCUUGGUAUAUUUCACUCUAGAUAUGCUAUUGGGGUGUAGACUGACUGUCUCUGUGUUGGGUUAUUCUAGACAAUUGUGUUAUGGAUUAUGUCAGAAAAUUCCACGAGUUGUGUGGCGAGGUGCAUCGGACUAUGUUCUAGCAGAAUGGUUGCGUUCCACAAACCAGCGGACACUUGGGAAGGACUGCUUUCCUCAAAUUGGGCCUUUGAGGCGAAUGUCAGUGUAGAGGUUUCUGCCAUUGAUUCGGUUCUAGUAUUGAGGGACUUUUUGGGUGCGUUCCUUGUGGAUGGUCAUGUCGAUGGGCAAGACUGUGGAUUUUAGAAAUUAUUGGGUGCCGGGCACCGUAUCGUACGGCUCCGGCAUGAGUUAGAGUAGUGGAAGGAGCAACUUCAGGCUUCUUGGUAAUGAGUUUGUUGGCAAGCAGAUUGGAUACGUGUUUAUCUUGAGUUGGCUUGGUUAGUCCCGAACUACAUUGAUGAAGGAUAGGUUGAUUCGAUCGUUAUUGAUCCUUCUAGUGAUAUGGGGAGAUAUGUGAGUUGCUUUUAUGUGCUGUGAGGCGUUAUAAUUUUCGGACUGUGGGCACAUGUAUUGUGGUGCUAUCGAGAUACAUAGUGGAAUUUGAAUUUUGUAGCUUACAACGCUAUAGAUAUAAUUAUGUACUCAGUAUGCUUACGACCGAUACUCGGUAUUUUGUUAUAAUGAGCAAAUUCGGCUCGAUGUGUAUCUAUCUCCCUAUGUGAGAUAUUUGUGUAGAUCGGGUGGCACGCCGCCACGGAUAUGUUAUAUGGAUCGUGUUGCACGCCGCAACAGUGUGAUGUUCAGAAUAGUUUUCCAUAUGUUACUUUGUAUGCCUUGCUUACUGGUUCCUGAGGAAAGUUCGUAUUGGGAGUUGCUCGAUGAAUAGCGCAUCGGUUGUGUCCUUUCAGGAUUGAAUGGUGUAUAUUACUUGCUUCGCCAUGGGUGUGAUGGAUUGUUUGGUUUCAGACAUCAAUCUGUGCAUAGCUGGCUAUUUUGAGCAUAACGACUUGAAGUGCUUCAUGUGUAACAAUGUUUGGAUAGGAUCGCGCAUUGUGGCGAGGCCAUGUGAAGUUAUGAACUUUCGAGAAGGAUCCAGGUACUCUAUUUCUAUGAUGUGAGACGGGGUCAGAUUUAUGUUGUGAUGGUACUGAUGAGCUUGAGGUACAGCUCUUUUAUUGAAUCAAUUGCCAUGAGUUGGUUAUGUUCCGACCGUCUCUUAUUGGUGUGUAUAUGAUGCAAGUUGUGGAUUAGGCCUCUGUUGAGAUGUAUUAUGACCAGAGUGGUAUGUUGGAUUCAAAGAGAUCGUUGGGGUCAUUAAUGAAUACGAACAUAGUCGAUUUUAGCUUGUUGGAAGGGUAAUAUCGAGGUUUGACGCGGAAAUCUGUUGUGAUAUUAGUCAAAGGAAGUGGCCUCGUGAACGGUUGAUCUGAGUAAUGGUUACGGCUUAUCGCGUGUUUUAAUUAUCAUUGGCAGUAUAUGAAAGUGUUGGUGUCACACCUCCUUUUUCACUGUACACCCCUGCAAAGGGGCGUAAAGGAGUUUUUCCAAUUAAAGAACAAUCGGAAUGUGAUUUGUUUAUUAUUUAUUCAGAGUCGCCACUUGGGAGAUUAAUGGUGUCUCAAGUCACCGACUGAAUCCCGAACCAAGGAAAAAGAUGACUUUGUUCACAGUCUGCGAACCAGAAAUCCGGAUAAGGAAUUCUGUUAACCCGGGAGAAGGUGUUAGGCAUUCCCGGGUUUCGUGGUUCUAACACGGUCGCUUAACUGUUGCAUCUAGCUAUUAUAUGAUUUUAUUACAUGAAGAACCUAUGUGCCAAUUUUAUGCUUAACCGCUUUUAUUUAAUAUGUAUUUAUUUAAGAGAAAGUGAACGUCAUUUAAAGUAUGUUUUCGGAUUGCGCCGCAUCAAAUGAACCCGCAAUACUAGGCACACUCUAUUCAACGUUUUAGGAUUUAGAUUUGGGCCGCAUAAAAUGCCCACCCGUAUUUAGGAUUGUAAUUUAUUAAAGCCGCCAAAUAGAGUCUAGCGCGUUAUUAUCUUUUGGGAUGGCCGUGAAAUUCGCUAAACGACCCUUCCCAAUUAUAAUUUAUUAAAGUCGCACAUAAUAGAGUCUAACGCGUUGUAAUCUUUUGGGAGGGCUGUGAAAUUCGCUAGGCCCUUCCCAAUUAUCUAAAUAUCUUUUAAACCAUUAUUGAGGGCCCCACAAUUUGUAUUUUUAUUGGGCGAGGCUCGUCUCAUUUAUUUAAAAGGAUAGACCUAAAAGUAGCUAUAUUUUCUAUUUUUCGGGUUUUUGUUUCUAAAAGAAAAGAAAAAUUCCUAAUUAAUUAUUUAAAAUCCGGGCCUUAAGUUCAAGUCCAGGUCCAAACAAAAGGACGAACCUUUUAGUUUAAAACCCGCUACCCAACUCAAAACCCGAAUUCCAUUAAUCUAAUUACGUAGUUCAAUUAAAAAUAGCAACCCAAUUCUACACCGUGCGAAAUCGUGAUUCAGCUAUAACCAAUUCAAGUAAAUAUACGAGCAAAUAACUAAGCGAGCAAAUUCGAGACUACGAAGAAACAAUUACAUAAACAACGGAAUCAUAACUAAUUGGCGAGCAUCUGAAAGAUUAGUUAUUUUAUUAGCUAAUUUCGACACUACAAGGCCACCAUUAAUUGUGAAAUCACAUAUUCACAAAAAUCUUCCAAAUCAUACAAACUAAAUAGAAUAAGAAACGAUCCAAAACAUUAGCGAGAAGAACAAUAUCGGAAAAGUAAAUAUUCACAAAAAUCGUCCAAAUCAUACAAACCAAAUCAAAUACGAAAUGAUCCAAAACAUUAGCGAGAAGAACAAUAUAGGAAAAAGAAAAUGAACCUUCAUUGUUGCGUGUUUUUCCCCAUGAACAGCGAAGCAAAAUCACAAGAAGCAAAUCAAAACAAAUGAAUUACUGAUCAUAACCUCGAUGAAUCCAGCCCCGGCAGACGAAACUCGAAUGGCAAUACCUCAACUCAGACACAACUCCAUCGGUUGUAAACUGAAAACUCGCCUGUGACGAAAUCCAGAUGAGCCAACCCAAAUGAAUGUACGAGCAGAUAAAAACGUUAGAGAUAGUCAAAGCUGCUGGAUCUCGUUGUUUCCGGCAAUAUAACAGUGAUAAGGAACGAGAAGACAUACGAGAAAACGAGAAUGGCGUGAUAGCAGUAGCGUUCGCCGGAUUUAAUGGCGGGUCAUCGGAUUUAACCAAACAUUCGACCAGCUCUGAAACUUGUCAUACAUGGAGGAGAUACGAGGAAGAAGAAGGUUGUUUUAAAAAAACGACGCUAUUGUUUUUUUUGUGUCUGUUCGUCUCCUAGGGUUCGUUCAUUUGGUUCAAUGAAGAUGACGAGCUUCAACGAGAGGAGGGGACGUUUUUCUGGUGUUAUCCGGCUGCCAUGGAGAUGGUGGUUGCUAGGUUAUAGGGUUUUUGGUUUUUCAUGGUGAUGGGCUCAAGAAGAUAAAGCAGCGUCCGAUCCUCUACUGUAGCGGUUGUCUUGUAUAAUGUAGUUUAGGGUUUUUUUUAUUGUAUUGUGUAUUUUGGGGCAUGGGUCGGGUCGACCCAGUUUCGACUGGGUUGGGAAAAUUUUUGGCUUCUCCAAUGUUUGGCCCGAUUUGAAUUUAAGACCAAGCCUUUUCAA